rnacentral:snoRNA from 1 species
UAGCUGUGUCACAGAGUAGAGGGCCUGAAGAAUUGCUCCUCUGUUUAUAACACACCCAACAGGAAUCUGUUGUUACAAAGGGCAUGAAACUUGUGGCCUCUCUAUGAACAAAUGCCCUACAGAU